rnacentral:snoRNA from 1 species
CUGCAUCCACUGACAGAUUGUUGAACAAAUUGUUGUUCUUUUGGUUUGCACCAGGACGUGAAAGAAAAAAACUCCCUGUGCUUUCCGUCUGUCUUUGUGGCAGCCCAGAUGGAAUAGGGGAAUACAUAC